AACUUUUUACAAUGGAUCUCUUGGCUCUCGCAUCGAUGAAGAACGCAGCGAAAUGCGAUACGUAAUGUGAAUUGCAGAAUUCAGUGAAUCAUCGAAUCUUUGAACGCACCUUGCGCCCCUUGGAAUUCCGAGGGGCACACCCGUUUGAGUGUCGUGAACAUCCUUCAACCUUUCUUGGUUUCUUAACCGGGGAAGGCUUGGACUUUGGGGGUCUUUCAUUGCUGGCCUCUUUGAAGCCAGCUCCUCCUAAAUGGAUUAGUGUGGUCUGCUUUGCCGAUCCUUGACGUGAUAAGAUGUUUCUACGUCUUGGGUUUCGCACUGUCGCUUUAGACCCCGCUUCUAACCGUCUUGCAUUCAAGACAGAGUUUUAAACCUUGACCUCAAAUCGGGUGAGACUACCCGCUGAACUUAAGCAUAUCAAUAAGCGGAGGCU
rnacentral:misc_RNA from 1 species